AGUCAAGGAGUGGGUCCAGGCUCCAGGUUUUGACACCUUUCCAAAGUUCCUUCCAUGCUUGUGAUGUGCAGGAAGAACUGAAAGGCCCUGGCCCGGAUGGUGUCUGCGGUUUCUGGCAGGCAGAAGGUUGACUAUCUAUAAGACUUGGUGACAACGGAGUGGGUGGGUGGCCCUUCCAGGUGCAACCAGAACAAGACAGACAGUUGCCUGUGGAUCAGGCCUGGACCGUCACUGCUCUGGAAGCUUUCCAGUAGAAGGGACUAUGUUUUGCCAGCUCCUGCUAUGCCAUUUGGUAUACAGUCUGCUUACGGAGGUGACACCUGCUGACCUUGCGUGUUUGAGAGCCACCCAUUCUGAAGGCUAUAGUGUUCUGCUCACCACCUACAAUUACCGUGACUAAAAAUACUUCGGAGUGAGGAGAGUCUUCAAGGGGACUUGGCGCCCAGACUACACUGUUCCUAUUUUGGUACUAUGUCUCAAGGCCACAGCCUUGCUACUGCUGAGCCGCGCAUCGCCAGUAAGGCAUUGCACUUCAGAAUUCAUGGAAGCCUUGUGAUUAUGUCUCUUUCCCCCAAAAUGGUGCCCACUAGAGAUCUUCCAGAUAAUUCCAUCACGACUUAGCCACCAUGUGCAGAAAAAGCAACUUCGUAGACAUCAGGCGAGCAUGCGUCUUCCCCGUGGUAAUGUAGCCACAGCUAAUGGGAUUCUUCCACCUUCACUGGUGUGAUUGAGGAGCUUCCACACAAACCCCAGGUCAUCGUGUGAAGAGAAAUAAACUAGAUGAGGGUGAUCAAACAGGCCGAGAAGACACCAUACCCUCUUCUUCUUCUGCUGUCUUGAGCACCUUGUGUCCGUUCACUCAGCACGAAUCCAUCUUAGCAAUAAAUCCCCCACAAGGGUGUUGUGCUCUCUCCAAUUUAAUCGGCAUUAAAUCCUUUUGAGUCC